UGGCCCGCCGGUGGCGGCAGCGCCGCGCUGGGCCGGGCUCUCCUCAGGAAGGCUCUGGAGAAGAGCAGCAGGUAUGUAUCGGCACCACAAGCAGCUCCGGCCACGCCAGCAGCCUGCCCAGGCCCGUGGUGGAUGUGUAAAGCAGCGAGGAAGGAGUGAAGGAGAAGGAGCGGGGCGAAGUCCCUCAGGAAUCGGGGGCACAGAAGCGCAGCGUCUGCCUCCCUUCGCUCAGGCCUCGCUGCCUGACUCGCUGCCCCAACACGGGCUGCAGCCGAGGAGCAGGACGUGUCCCGACCUCUCCAGGGCAAAGCCAGUAACAUAACAAACCUGUUAGCCCCGAGAGCUCCCCUGUGGCCGCGUCUCUCAGGCAGAUCAGCUCUGGUGGCAGAAAGGCCGCGGGAGCCCCGCAUGCAGAGGUUUUGCUCCUCACACACGCGUGUGGAAGAGCAGCUGGGUCAGCCUCGGGUGGCUCUGGCUGCCUGUGAGCACGAGCACUCAAAUCUGUCAGCAGCACUGACUUCUGCACCUGGCUCCUGGUUGCUCUUUCCCAUCUCCUCACUUUUCUGAUUUUUUUUUUCUCCUCACAUCCUAAUUGGAGGUGACAAGGAACAAACCUGCUUGGAAGUGACCAUAAGCCUGCAGAACUUUUUUGGGACUUGCUGGAAUUUCCAGAAAAAAAAAAAAAAAAAAAAAGUAAGACUAAUACCUUAGCUUUAAGGUAUCAAAAGGACAAUGAGCUCUGUGAGAAGGGAAAAAAGUAGUGAUAUUCCAAAUUGCAGCUCCUAGGACUAAAAGAUAACUAACAGGAGUUUUGUUAGUGGCAGGAUUAUGCCCCGUAUAGGUUCAAAAUUUUGGACUAAUAGCUUUUAUUUGGCAACCAAAGGCCCUGAAGAAUUGCUGGAAUGGCCCUGGCAGUGUUGAACCAGUUUUAAGACCUUGAAGGAUGCCCAUGGAGGCACCGGCUUCAGGCCUUCCAGGUACAACCAAGCUCUUUUCAUGAUGCAUGCAUGGAAGGCAACCAGUGGCCUCUGUGGGGAUGACACAGCUUCUUGGGAGUUGGCAAAGGCCAGUGGCAUCCUUCUCCAAGCAACUGGAUGGUCAGCAUGCUUAUCAGCCAGAGCAGCCCUAGUGAUGCAGGAGGCCCAGAAAUUCACUUUGGGAUGCUCAGUAACUGUGCUAGUGCCACGUUCCAUUGCUGGCUGUUUGGAAUCCAGAGGGACAUCACUGGAUCUCUCUAAUACUGGCAAAAUACCGAGCUGUGCUAGUGGACCUGGGAGAGGAGUAGCCGUGUGUGCGUGACGCCGACUUCAAAGGAAGCCAUUUUGCUCCCUGCUGAAAAGCAAGGGCCUUUUUCAACGUGAGUGCACACCGUGGGGCACUCAGGACGCCAAGAUUUAAGGGAUGAACCUUUGCAGGAACCAGGCAAAAGCUGGCAGCAGAUUGGGCUGUAUUGCAGCGAGUGCUACGGAGCCCUGAACAACACCUGCUCCGUCUGCACGGCCCCCCUGAGCUCCCCGGACUCUGGCGAUGAGGAGAUGUGAGGAGGGGUGCUGGGGGGGCUGCAGAGGGGCUGGGGCGGGGGGCACAGCUCAGCCCUGCCCUCUGUGCCCCCGCAGGGACUCCAGUGACGGGGACACGCCGGGGCUGUGGCCGGGCCGGGGCCAGGAGCGAGGGCGGCGGCUGCUGCAGCGCGUCAAGGACGCGCUCAAGCCCUCCAGAACGGCUGCCCAGCUGUGAGCCCAGCUGUGAGGGGAGGAAAAGAGUGAGGAAAGCAAUGUGGGCAGCAGUGGGGUCAACAAGAGCAGGUGAGGGCUGGCUGUGGGCUGGCAACGUCCCCUGUCCUCCCCAGCACUGGGGAUUCCCAACACUGCAGCUCCUCUCUGCCAGCAAGACUUCAACGACCAGCAGCAGGCCAAGAACAGUGAAAGGGAGGGCCCAGUGACAGCAGGACGGUGCCAUGUGGCAGCAAAACCACGGGUCCAGGUGCUGGGAUGUGCCUGGAGCCCCACCAGUGCAGCAGAAGCUGAGAGCCCCUGGGUGUGGAAGGGCUGGUGAGUAAAUCACCUGCUCCUCAAGGCAGCUGAGUCCUGGUACUCUGAGCUGGCAUCCACCAUUCCAUGAUGGUCCUGGCCUUGUGGUACCCCAGCUCCUUGCUGCCCUGGCUCCGUCCCUGCUGUGACCCCAGCCUCUCAAUGUCCCCCAGCCCCAUCUCCAGCGCCUUGGUGCCACCAUCUCCAUGCCCGCUGUGCCUCCAGCCCCUACACACCCCCGUCUCCAGCCUUUAUGGUGUCCCCAUUCCCAUCCCUGUGGUGCCCCCAGCCCCAUGCUGACCCCCACCCCUCGAUGUCCCUCUCCCCACACACGGUGCCCGCUCCCCAUCUCAAUGUCCCUUGUCCCCAUCCCCACAUCGUCCCCAGUCCUGAGCUGCUCCAGGGGCAGGGAUGCAGAAUGGACAGACAGCUGGACACGGGGGAAGUCCCUGCUUCUCCGUUUAUUACCAAGCAGCCUUCGUUUAAAAAACAAAACAAAACAAAACAAAAAAAAAAAAAAAAAAACCAAAACAAAACAAAACAAAAAAAAAAAUAAAACAAA